UCUGGCUUCAAGCUUCUGGUCUCGGAGCCCCUCGGAUGAUACUUUUACCUGGACCUUUCCUCUCUGCACCCUCCUCCAUGGUCUCUUUGCAGCUGUGGUUCUGGAGCGACUGCUCUUCCCACUUCUCUCCUCCUGGCCAGCUGCUCCUGCCCGUAGGGCUCCUGAACACUGGCAGCGUGCCCGAUUCUUCUCUGACCUUGCCCAGAGAACAUCCUCCUCUACUGAUGGGAUCCCUCUGUGCACAAACAAGCCUCCCCUGACCAGGCCCACAUGCCAGCCGCAUCCAUCUGCUUUUGAUCUUGACUCCCAGCCACUGCUGAAAGAGUGAAUCUGGGCUUCGGGGAGUUUUAUAAAGAUGUCCCACUUAUUUCUAAUGACCAGUCUUUUCAUUUGGCCUCAAAAUUACUGUCGUUACUGUUCUAAAUGUCAGCUGUAAUGCCCAGUGCUUUAGCUUUCUCUCUACACAAUCAUGAUUAUAGGAAUUUUAAAAAAUUAUGUAGCUGAAGGUGACCCUGAACGUUUAUUUUAGAAGAUUAACGGUUGUGCUUUGCAUGUCACCUGUGCAAAUCAAGUCAUUAAAGCUGCUCUGCGUUGAUUAA